GUGCUAGCCUCAGCAGCAAAUAAACUAAAAUUGGAACGAUACAGAUAGGAUUAGCAUGGCACCUGCACACGGGAAAAACACAAAUUCGUAAAGUGUUCCAUAUUAUU